UCUUCAAAAAUGGUAAUUUGCUCCAUAGCGCCACCUACAAUAUUCAAUUAGGCAGCCCCAUUAGGCAGCCCCGGUGCUACGUUUGACCUACAUGUAUAACGCUGGGUAGGUAUAUGUAACACAAGUAGACGGAAAGAAAAGUCUCUUGGCACCAUGCUCUAAACUGUACCGGAUGUCGCCAAUAUUGAUUUCUGUUUCACUAUGUUUGUGCAAAGCUCAUCUCAUUUCCACAUACAGGUAUUCACCUGCGUUUCAUACUCCAGGCCAGCAGGUGGCGGUAAUGCACCAAAUAUAUGGAUGCAAACUGCUGUUUAGAGAAGAAGAAGAAGAAGAACGCAGCUGCGGGCCUGGUCUGCAGUCUGCUCCGUCUGAGACGGUUACUCAAUGCUAUGCUACACGAGGAGCUCCAUGCUAAUGCGACCCUCCAUUCAAAUAUAUAAUGGUUUCUCCUGUUCGCCAGUCGGCAUGAACACAUAAAUACUGUGGAUAUUACGUUACAUAACCGCAGUGAAAGAACGACACUAUGGAGAUGUUUGGACUGCAGUAUAAUGAGCAUGGUUGCCCCCAGUUCCUGUGGACUGGGACCAGCACAGGACCAAGACUGCCCGACCUCCUCCAGAGCAGUGCAUCCACUGCACAGUCAUCGUAAUGGACGUGGCACUAAGGAGGAUUGUCCAGCCGCAGAUGACGCUGAAGAACCGUUACAAGCGCUAACACCAGUCUGCUUCAGCAGCUUGGUUGAAAUGGAGAUUGGAUGAUGCACUGUGCCCAACUAAUCAUACACGUGAUGCCUUGAGAGGUCGGGGUCAGAUUGACGUGGCACUAAGGAGGAUUGUCCAGCCGCAGAUGACGCUGAAGAACCGUUACAAGCCGCUAACACCAGUCUGCUUCAGCAGCUUGGUUGAAAUGGAGAUUGGAUGAUGCACUGUGCCCAACUAAUCAUACACGUGAUGCCUUGAGAGGUCGGGGUCAGAUUGCCAGCAGGUGGCGGUAAUGCACCAAAUAUAUGGAUGCAAACUGCUGUUUAGAGAAGAAGAAGAAGAAGAAGAACGCAGCUUUGCCGGCCUGGUCUGCAGUCUGCUCCGUCUGAGACGACACUAUGGAGAUGUUUGGACUGCAGUAUAAUGAGCAUGGUUGCCCCCAGUUCCUGUGGACUGGGACCAGCACAGGACCAAGACUGCCCGACCUCCUCCAGAGCAGUGCAUCCACUGCACAGUCAUCGUAAUGGUGCGCAGUAUUAAUUAUUAAUAUUAUGAAAAUAUUUGAAUUUUUUUUUUAGCAAAUCUGUAACUUUCUUUAAAAAAAUUACACUGCAGUCUUGUUAUUGGUGACCUCAGCUAGGCCCAGAAUUAUU